UACAGAGGUCCCAAGCGUUGUUCGGAUUCACUGGGCGUAAAGGGUGCGUAGGCGGUCGGGUAAGUCUGAUGUGAAAUCUCACAGCUUAACUGUGAAACUGCAUUGGAUACUAUUCGGCUUGAGAGUUGGAGGGGGGACUGGAAUUCUUGGUGUAGCAGUGAAAUGCGUAGAUAUCAAGAGGAACACCAGUGGCGAAGGCGAGUCCCUGGACAGUUCCUGACGCUGAGGCACGAAGGUCAGGGGAGCAAACGGG
rnacentral:rRNA from 1 species